GUUCUACUGCGACGUUGGUGACUGCCAAUAAUGUUUUUUUGAUCUAUAACUCUUAACUCUCGGGAAUCAAGAUGUUUGGACAGCAGUAAACUGGGCUUGUACCCAGAAAACGGUGCCCACCUGGUAAAAUACCAGGUCAAAAGCUGAGGUAAGACGGCGUUGCGGUGAACCC
rnacentral:other from 1 species